rnacentral:rRNA from 1 species
UACGUAGGAUGCAAGCGUUGUCCGGAUUUACUGGGCGUAAAGCGCGCGCAGGCGGCACAUUAAGUAAGGUGUGAAAUAUCCCGGCUCAACCGGGUGGGUGCACUUUAGACUGAUGAGCUUGAGGUCGGUAGAGGGGGGUGGAAUUGCUGGUGUAGCGGUGAAAUGCGUAGAGAUCAGCAGGAACACCCGUGGCGAAGGCGGCCCCCUGGGCCGUACCUGACGCUGAUGCGCGAAAGCGUGGGGAGCGAGUCCGG